rnacentral:rRNA from 1 species
GGCUCAGGAUUAACGCUGGCGGCGUGCCUAAUACAUGCAAGUCGAAUGGUAGUAGCAAUACAAACCAUGGCGAACGGGUGAGUAACACGUAGGUAACCUGUCUUUAAGACGAGGAUAACCGUUGGAAACGACGGAUAAUACUGGAUAGGACAUUAAAUGGGGCAUCCUUAAAUGUUUAAAGAUUAUUAUGUCACUUAGAGAGGGGCCUGCGGCGCAUUAGCUAGUUGGUGAGAUAACAGCCCACCAAGGCGAUGAUGCGUAGCCGGACUGAGAGGUUGAACGGCCACAAUGGGACUGAGAACGGCCCAUACUCCUACGGGAGGCAGCAGUAGGGAAUUUUCGGCAAUGGGCGCAAGCCUGAACCCGAGCAACGCCGCGUGAACGAAGAAGUUAUUCGUAAUGUAAAGUUCUUUUAUCUGGGAAGAAAAACAAAUUGACGGUACCAGAUGAAUAAGCUCCGGCUAACUACGUGCCAGCCGCAGC